AGUAAGGAAUAUUGGUCAAUGGGCGGAAGCCUGAACCAGCCAUCCCGCGUGCAGGAUGACUGCCCUAUGGGUUGUAAACUGCUUUUAUCUGGGAAUAAACCACUCUAUUAAUGGGGUGUUGAAGGUACCAGAAGAAUAAGCACCGGCUAACUCCGUGCCAGCAGCCGCGGUAAUACGGAGGGUGCAAGCGUUAUCCGGAAUCACUGGGUUUAAAGGGUGCGUAGGCGGCCAUGUAAGUCAGAGGUGAAAGGCUACAGCUUAACUGUGGAAUUGCCUUUGAUACUGUGUGGCUUGAAUAAGGAUGAGGUUGGCGGAAUGUGACAUGUAGCGGUGAAAUGCAUAGAUAUGUCAUAGAACACCAAUUGCGAAGGCAGCUAACUGGGCCUUUAUUGACGCUGAGGCACGAAAGCGUGGGGAUCAAA
rnacentral:rRNA from 1 species